rnacentral:lncRNA from 1 species
AAGGUGCUUUGGCGGAGCAUAGCAUUCUUAGUUGACAUGACUACAAAGCUAUAGUAUGAGAGAAUCCCUGUGUCGAAGCAUGUUUGUCAGCCUGUGCCUCGGUUGGAAGCGGUGGAACCUAUAAAAAUUUCAUCUAUUUGCCUGUGAAUUUCAAGAUGUCAUUGUUUUUUACUGCUGAGUAGUACUCCAUUGUUUCAUUCAUCGCUGAGGAAAACUAGAGAAGGAACCUGGAUACAGGAACUGAUGCAGGACUGCAGAGGACACCGCCCUCUGGCCUGCUUCUCCUGGUUGACACUGCUUGCUUCCUUAUACAACCCACCUGCUACAGGUAAAGCCAAGCACUAAGUACAUAAAGAAGAAAAAGGUGACAUGACUCCUUUUUACAUAGAGCUGCAGUUUUCAACCACAGAGUGUCAGCUCACAACCUGAGAGUCCUCACUUAGCUUGAGCUAAGGUAGGACUACUUCUGAUACCUGACUGAAGCAUCAACACUGAAUUGUCCAAAGACAGACCCCUAAGCUCCACACAGCUGGUCUACCACCUGACACAUUGAAACACAUGAACGGAAGCUUCAAACACCUGCUCGACAAGAUUUCCAUACCAGUAACAAGUACUUGCCACCUGACUAAAGAUGCUUAAGUCUCAUUACAAAUGGGCAAACAUGAAUAACAAAAGUACCAAGUCUCCCUGAAAAAAUUAGUAAGUCCAGAGUAAUGUCCCCUGAGAAAAGCAACCCAGAUGAUGUACAAGACAAUGAUUUCAAAAAUAGCAAUACAAAAAUAGACAAAGAAUUCAAAGAGAAUAUAAAUAAAUGCUAGAACAAACACACCAAACCAUGGUUGAAUGAAGUUAUGAAAAGCCAAGAAAUGAAAACAGAAUUUAAUGGAUAGAGAGCUUCUGAAGAAAAGCAAAAAUUAAAUAGGAUUUAAAAUGUAAAAUUCAGGAAUUCAAACAAAUAUCAGAAAACAAGAUCACCGAUAGAUUGACCGUGUGGGAGAGAAAUUAUUGGGUCUUGAAGGCAAGUUAGAAGAAUUAGAUCAUUCAAUGAAAGAAAAUAUCUAAUGCAAAUUAUCCCCCAAAUCCAAAAGUACAGGAACUUGGACAUUAUGCAAAGACCAAACCUAUAAAAAGUAAGUUCAGAAGAAGAGGAGGCACAGGUCAAAGGUAGAAAA